UUUCCAGUGGCUUAGUCAGUGGAGCAUUGCGCUAGUAACAUAAAGGUUGUGGGUUCAAACCUCAGAAGAAAAA